rnacentral:rRNA from 1 species
CCAGACUCCUACGGGAGGCAGCAGUGAGGAAUAUUGGUCAAUGGGCGCGAGCCUGAACCAGCCAAGUCGCGUGAGGGAAGACGGUCCUAUGGAUUGUAAACCUCUUUUGUCGGGGAGCAAAAGACGCCACGCGUGGCGUUCCGAGAGUACCCGAAGAAAAAGCAUCGGCUAACUCCGUGCCAGCAGCCGCGGUAAUACGGAGGAUGCGAGCGUUAUCCGGAUUUAUUGGGUUUAAAGGGUGCGUAGGCGGACUGUAAGCGGGGGGGAAAACGCGGGGGGCACACCCCGGGCGAGCCGUUGAAACUGGCUGUCUUGAGAUGUCGAGAGGUAUGCGGAAUGCGCAGUGUAGCGGUGAAAUGCUUAGAUAUUGCGCAGAACUCCGAUUGCGAAGGCAGCAUACCGGCGGCGAUCUGACGCUGAGGCACGAAAGCGUGGGUAUCGAACAGGAUUAGAUACCCGUGUAU